rnacentral:rRNA from 1 species
GACGAACGCUGGCGGCGUGCUUAACACAUGCAAGUCGAACGGAAAGGCCCUGCUUUUGUGGGGUGCUCGAGUGGCGAACGGGUGAGUAACACGUGAGUAACCUGCCCUUGACUUUGGGAUAACUUCAGGAAACUGGGGCUAAUACCGGAUAGGAGCUCCUGCUGCAUGGUGGGGGUUGGAAAGUUUCGGCGGUUGGGGAUGGACUCGCGGCUUAUCAGCUUGUUGGUGGGGUAGUGGCUUACCAAGGCUUUGACGGGUAGCCGGCCUGAGAGGGUGACCGGCCACAUUGGGACUGAGAUACGGCCCAGACUACUACGGGAGGCAGCAGUGGAGAAUAGUGCACAAUGGGCGGAAGCCUGAUGCAACAACGCCGCGUGCGGGAUGACGGCCUUCGGGUUGUAAACCGCUUUCGCCUGUGACGAAGCGUGAGUGACGGUAAUGGGUAAAGAAGCACCGGCUAACUACGUG